rnacentral:rRNA from 1 species
UGGGGAAUCUUCCGCAAUGGACGAAAGUCUGACGGAGCAACGCCGCGUGAGUGAAGACGGCCUCCGGGUUGUAAAGCUCUGUGAUCCGGGACGAAAGAGCCUGAGGUGAAUAGCCUAAGGAAGUGACGGUACCGGAAAAGCAAGCCACGGCUAACUACGUGCCAGCAGCCGCGGUAAUACGUAGGUGGCAAGCGUUGUCCGGAAUUAUUGGGCGUAAAGCGCGCGCAGGCGGCUUCCUAAGUCCAUCUUAAAAGUGCGGGGCUUAACCCCGUGAUGGGAUGGAAACUGGGAAGCUGGAGUAUCGGAGAGGAAAGUGGAAUUCCUAGUGUAGCGGUGAAAUGCGUAGAGAUUAGGAAGAACACCGGUGGCGAAGGCGACUUUCUGGACGAAAACUGACGCUGAGGCGCGAAAGCGUGGGGAGCAAACAGG